rnacentral:rRNA from 1 species
GACGAACCGUACGAACGUUAUUCGGAAUCACUGGGCUUAAAGGGUGCGUAGGCUGCGCAGCAAGUUGGGUGUGAAAUCCCUCGGCUUAACCGAGGAACUGCGCCCAAAACUGCUGUGCUCGAGGGAGAUAGAGGUGAGCGGAACUUAGGGUGGAGCGGUGAAAUGCGUUGAUAUCCUAAAGGAACACCGGUGGCGAAAGCGGCUCACUGGAUCUCUUCUGACGCUGAGGCACGAAAGCUAGGGUAGCGAACGGGAUAGAAACCC